rnacentral:lncRNA from 1 species
AAAGUAGUAUUACUAAAUUUCAAUUUUCUAUUAUUCUCACUUAUUCAAGGGAAAUACCAUGUCUAGAAUCAAUAACCAACCCGUAGGCAACUAGCGGAGCAAACCGGAGGAACAUGGACCUCAAAUGAUCAAUCAACUGGGACCUAGCCAAUAGCCAUCUCGUUAGAGUGAAAAUUCCCUUGCAAGAUCUGCUAGCAGGGGUAAUGAACGACAUAGGUUGGAGGAGACGGUGAAAGAAUUCAUGACAUAGUAACAACAGCUGAAUGCUCAAAUCGGAAAGGUAUUGAGGGCCCUGACAAGUGGUGCAACAGCUACAAUGCUAACCCCACCUCCGAUGGGUCUCGGAGUACAUCGAUAUGGAAACUCCCAACUCUAAACUGAGGAAUACGGUAACAGGGGAACUCCAUUUUAAGUUGAUAGUUGGAGAUCAUUAUACCUUUCAACUUGGAAAUGAAUACUGCUAUUACAUUCCUUAUUUUUCUAAUGAUAAUCAAAGUCAAAAGUCAAUGAUCUUUUAGUUCUUAUAUGGCCUAGGAUUUACUUCCGAGAAGCCUGGCCAAGUCAAUGUAUGUCUCUUUUCUUGCUGGAUAUUUCCGCUCAGUACGCUUUGAAUUAUAGGAAACUCAUGGGUAUGCAUUUGUUGUCAAUUAGUCAUCCCCUUUAGUCUUUGACCUUCCACACAUCAAUCUUUAAUAUUUCAAAUAUAAUCAGGAAAGGAUAGUGUAACGACCCGAUCGUUUGUUUUAUGUAUUUGAGUCCAGUUUCCCCUUUUGAAGUUUUCCGUAUGUUUAUUUGUAGUUUUAUAACUUGCGGGGAUGGUUAGUUUCAAUUCGGGAAAAUUUUGAAAUGAUUUGGACCCUUUGGUUCUUGGUUUAGAAGCUUAAGUUGGAAAUGUUGACCGAUGUUUGACUUUUGUGAAAAUGACUUCGGAACGGUAUUUUGAUGAAUCUGUUAGGUCUGUAUCGUGAUUUUGGACUUAGGCGUAUUCCCGGAAUUGAAUUCGAAGAUCCCUAGGUUGAUUUGACUUGUUUUGCCGAAAGUUGGCAAUUUGAGGUUUAAAAAUUUUCUUAAGUUUGACCGUAGGUUGAUUUUAUGACUAUCGGGUUCGGAUUUUAGUUUGGGGACUUGGAAUAGGUAUGUUUUUCUAUUUGGAGCUUGCCUGUAAAAUUUGGUGUAAUUCAGAGUUGGUUUGAUAAGAUUCAGACGCUUGGUUGUGAUUGUAGUGAUUCUUGAGUUUUCUUUUGAAUUCCAUACGUUUUGAUGUAUGAUUCGUGAUUUCGGAUGUUAUUUUGAUGUUUAGAUCACACGAGCGAGUUCGUAUGAUAUUUUUAGACUUGUGUGGAUGUUUGGUGUAGAGCCCCAGGGACUCGGGUGAGUUUUGAACGUGUUUUAGAAUGGUUUGAGCUGGUUUCAGAUUUGCUGGCGUGCUGGUGCUCCAGUUAUCGCAAUUGCGAUCUUAGGUUGGGUAGGUCGCAUUUGUGACCAUUUGGUCGCAUUUGCGAAUAGGGCAGACUUCACAUUUGCGAGGUCGGUGUAGCAAUUGCGACAUCCCUCUAGGUUGUUAGGUGCCACAUUUGCGAGUCCUUCUUCACAUUUGUCAGUGUUCGCAAUUGCAAACCCAGUGUCGUAAUUGCGACUUCUGCACGUGAGCAAAAGGGUUGGGAAGACGGGAUUUAGUCUCAUUUUUCAUAUUUUAGAACCCAAGAUUCGGUAGGAGGCGAUUUGGAGAUGGAAUUUUCACAUACAACUAUUGGGUAAGUGAUUUUGAUCAAUUUUCAAUAUUCUAUAUUGAAAAGGCUUGUUGAUUUGAAUGGUUAUUAUGUUUCCUUCAUUCGUUUUACUUGUAUUUUUACGGUACUUGAUCACUUGUUCUUAUCAUAUGUUCACUCUUUGUUGUCCUUUAUUGCCUUAAUUUUCGUUGUUAGCCUUACAUCAUUAUACUGUUUUGUUGUCAUUUAUUUCUUUGCUUCAUGUUAUUAGAUUGCCGAGGUUAGGCUUGAUACUUAUUGGGUACCGUUGUGGUGUACUCAUACUACACUUUUGUAUAUUUUUGUGCAGAUCCAGGUACUCUUGCUCGUGCCGGACGCCGGUGAGUUGACUCAUAAUUUGUGGAGAUUUCAAGGUAUACCUGCCUGAUACUCACAGGCCUUGUAGUCACCUUCUAGAGAUCUUAUGCUAUUGUUUCUUUUGUUUUUGAACAAUAUUGUAUUAGAGAUUCUUCGUGCAUUUUUCAGUAGAGCUUAUGACUCAGUUCCAUUGGUUUUGGGGAUAACUUGACUGUAGUUUCGUUUUGGCAUAUUAUGACAUUUUAUCAUAUUAAUUUAAUAUCUAAUUUAUUAUUUUUGUUAAA